rnacentral:rRNA from 1 species
UACCAGCACCCCGAGUGGUCGGGACGAUUAUUGGGCCUAAAGCAUCCGUAGCCGGCCUUACAAGUCCUCCGUUAAAUCCAGCUGCUUAACAGAUGGGCUGCGGAGGAUACUAUAAGACUAGGAGGCAGGAGAGGCAAGCGGUACUCAGUGGGUAGGGGUAAAAUCCGUUGAUCCAUUGAAGACCACCAGUGGCGAAGGCGGCUUGCCAGAACGCGCUCGACGGUGAGGGAUGAAAGCUGGGGGAGCAAACCGG